rnacentral:rRNA from 1 species
UACGGGGGGGGUAAGCGUUGUUCGGAAUUACUGGGCGUAAAGGGCUCGUAGGCGGCCAACUAAGUCAGACGUGAAAUCCCUCAGCUUAACUGGGGAACUGCGUCUGAUACUGGAUGGCUUGGAUUCGGGAGAGGAAUGCGGAAUUCCAGGUGUAGCGGUGAAAUGCGUAGAUAUCUGGAGGAACACCGGUGGCGAAGGCGGCAAUUCUGGACCGAUAUUGACGCUGAGGAGCGAAAGCCAGGGGAGCAAACGGGG